rnacentral:rRNA from 1 species
AAAUUGAAGAGUUUGAUCAUGGCUCAGAUUGAACGCUGGCGGCAGGCCUAACACAUGCAAGUCGAGCGGCAGCGGAAAGUAGUUUACUACUUUGCCGGCGAGCGGCGGACGGGUGAGUAAUGUCUGGGAAACUGCCUGAUGGAGGGGGAUAAC